GACGAACGCUGGCGGCGUGCUUAACACAUGCAAGUCGAGCGGUAAGGCCCUUUCGGGGGUACACGAGCGGCGAACGGGUGAGUAACACGUGGGUGACCUGCCCUCAGCUCUGGGAUAAGCCUGGGAAACCGGGUCUAAUACCGGAUAUGACUCCAUGACGCAUGUUGUGGGGUGGAAAGCCUUGUGCGGCUGAGGAUGGGCCCGCGGCCUAUCAGCUUGUUGGUGGGGUGAUGGCCUACCAAGGCGACGACGGGUAGCCGGCCUGAGAGGGCGACCGGCCACACUGGGACUGAGACACGGCCCAGACUCCUACGGGAGGCAGCAGUGGGGAAUCUUGCGCAAUGGGCGAAAGCCUGACGCAGCGACGCCGCGUGAGGGAUGA
rnacentral:rRNA from 1 species